ACUCCACACCUCCCCACGAGCAGAGGGAGCAGGCUCCGGCCUCCGCCAGCCCCACAGAGGGGCCCCCACAGCGCAGCGGCGGGCCGAAGCGCUCCUGGAGCGCGGCCAGAGCAGACGCGGAGGCCGAGGAGGUGCCGAGAGAGAGCGAGCGAGGGCUGCUAGCAAGUUGUCACCUCUCAACAACACUUUGGGAGGCUGAGAAUCUCUCUCUGCUGCCCAGGCUGGAGUGCAGUGGGAUGAUCUCGGCUCAUUGAAACCUCCACCUCCAGGUUCAAGCGAUACUCCUGCCUCAGGCUCCCGAGUAGCUGGGACUACAAGUGUGCACCACGAUGCCCAGGGCCAUGGCCCGAGAUGUUGACAAAUACAUCCAUGAAUGCUCCAAGGCGAGGAGGGAUGAUUCGAACAAAGUCCAAGCAUAUUCAGAGGAAAUCAGGACUGAGAGUCUUCAUGGCCAAUGCUCAAAUUUGAGGCUGAGGUGAUGAUUUUUAG